GUAGUGAAGACGAAUGUUGUUGCCCACCUUCUGAUUUCCCUGUUUCUGUCUCUUUCGACGAAGAUCAUGCAACAACGAAUACGGCGCGUGGACGAUGUCCACUUUGUUCAAAACUUCAAUGUGCUUUUUGUUGUAAAUAUUGUAUUCAAAAUGGGGAUUUUACCCAUUCAAAUGUUGGCAGGGACAAGGAAAGUCUUCAUGAGAAGAUCCAGAAGCUUAAUAAUCUUAAAAAUGAGAAGCUCAAGCUUAUUGUGAGAUUUGAUGAGUAUCUACAGGUGAAAACCAUAUUAGACCAAAAG